rnacentral:rRNA from 1 species
ACGAACGCUGGCGGCGUGCCUAAUACAUGCAAGUAGAACGCUGAAGAGAGGAGCUUGCUCUUCUUGGAUGAGUUGCGAACGGGUGAGUAACGCGUAGGUAACCUGCCUUGUAGCGGGGGAUAACUAUUGGAAACGAUAGCUAAUACCGCAUAACAAUGGAUGACACAUGUCAUUUAUUUGAAAGGGGCAAUUGUUCCACUACAAGAUGGACCUGCGUUGUAUUAGCUAGUAGGUGAGGUAAUGGCUCACCUAGGCGACGAUACAUAGCCGACCUGCGAGGGUGAUCGGCCACACUGGGACUGAGACACGGCCCAGACUCCUACGGGAGGCAGCAGUAGGGAAUCUUCGGCAAUGGGGGCAACCCUGACCGAGCAACGCCGCGUGAGUGAAGAAGGUUUUCGGAUCGUAAAGCUCUGUUGUAAGUCAAGAACGGGUGUGAGAGUGGAAAGUUCACACUGUGACGGUAGCUUACCAGAAAGGGACGGCUAACUACGUG